rnacentral:rRNA from 1 species
AUGAUCACCUCGACGCAGCAGGGGUGGUUGCCGGCCGGCUACUGGCCGCUCUGGAGCUCUCGUCGGAAGCUGCCGAGGCCGCCGUGGUACGUCGCCGGCGGUCGUGUCCCCUCUGCGACGGCAAAGACGGCGACGGCCAAACCUCCGAUCGACGGCCAAAACUACGGCCAAAGCGCGGGCGUGGUGGCGUCCAUGUCGAGAUGUGGUUUGGUAGGGACGGCCGGGGGCUGCGCGGUGAGGAGGCGGCCGGAGAAUAGCGGCGUCGCCGGCGGCGGGGCGGGGCGGGAGAGAGAGGGUGGAAGCGUUGGGAGCGGAGGGACUGCUAUGGAGCCGCUGCAACAACUGCUCAUCAAUGCAGUGCAAGAGGGGACGUUAUCCAAGUUCAAAGGCAGGGUGUCGGAGUUCAGCACCUCCAUGUAUGCCGACGACGUUGCAAUAUUCCUCAACCCUGUCAGGCAAGAGGUGCUUACUCUCAUAUCGAUCCUCCGCGCCUUUGGCGACGCCACGAGACUCAUAGUUGACUUCAGCAAAAGCAUGUUGCGCAAGGUUGACCUCCAGACGCUCACAAACAAGAUCGUGGCAAGGCUGGCCGGCUGGAAAUUCAAGAUGCUUGCGACCGCAGGGCGCCUGGUGCUGCUCAACUCCGUCCUAUCGGCUUUCACGAUGCCGGCGUGGGUGCGCCUGCAGAUCGACAAGAUUCGGCGCGCAUGGCUAUGGAAGGGCCAGGAAUUCUGUCAUGGCGGACAUUGCAAGGUGGCCUGGGGGCGUAUCUGUAGACCACAUGAACUUGGUGGCCUUGGCAUCUUGGACCUGCAACGGUUUGGGGUGGCGCUGUGGCUGCGCUGGCUGGUGUGCAUGACGACGAUGAGGCCAUGUAUUGGGAUGCCUCUUCCGUGUUCCACGCUAAGACGGCUACUAUUCGCGGCUGCUACUACUGCAAUUGUCCGUGACGACAAGACGAUUUCUUUUGAAAAUUUGUGA